GUUACUUGUUACAGUGCACAGUAU
rnacentral:snRNA from 1 species